rnacentral:rRNA from 1 species
AUUGAACGCUGGCGGCAGGCCUAACACAUGCAAGUCGAGCGAGCGGCGGACGGGUGCGUAAUGCCUGGGAAUUGCCCAGACGAGGGGGAUAACAGUUGGAAACGACUGCUAAUACCGCAUACGAUUGGAUUGCCCAGGUGGGAUUAGCUAGUUCGUGAGGGAAUGGCUCGCCAAGUCAACGAUCCCUAGCUGGUCUGAGAGGAUGAUCAGAAACACGGGAAGUGAGACACGGUCCAGAGUACGACGGUGGGUAGCUGUGGGGAAUAUUGCACAAGGGGGGAAAUCCUGAUGCAGCCAUGCCGCGUGUGUGAAGAAGGCCUUCGGGUUGUAAAGCACUUUCAGCGAGGAGGCGUUACUCGCAGAAGAAGCACCGGUUAACUCCGUGCCAGCAGACGCGGUAAUAC